GGAGCCCCCUGUAAGCAGGGGUGCAGCCUCUUUGGCCACUGCUUUGCAUGCCCAGCUGCCUUUGCCCAGAGGGCCCGGCUCCCAGCAGCGGAUGGGACUGCGUCGCUGUGAAGCCGUUGGAGAAGAAAGAAGGGACAUGAGUGGACCUUCGAGGGAAGAACCAAGAAUAAGAAGAGCAGCGGCGUCGAGCUCAAGAUGGGGCAUGAUAGAGACCCUCUGGGCAAAGGCACCUCCCUGUCACCUGUUGGGGUAAUAUGGGAGCUCGCCCUUCAAAGGAAGAGACUGAAAUGUUU